rnacentral:lncRNA from 1 species
GGGUUGCCGGAGUUUCAUGAUGAACGGAAUUGUUUGCCCAACAGACCGGUGCAACGCUCUCCGGGACAGUGUAAGGCCUUUUUGUCUAAAAAAAUUCAUUGUAGUGCUUUCAGGUGUCAUAAAUUUGUUCCUGUUUUGCCACCUCCUCCGCCACUUUCACCGCCCUUGCCUGCCCCUCCGCCACCUGUUUAUUCGCCUCCGCCACCAGUUUAUACUCCUCCUUCUCCUUCCCCACCACCUCCUCCACCUCCAGUUUAUUCACCACCGCCACCACCACCCUCUCCACCUCCUCCAUCACCUCCCCCGCCUCCACCACCAGUCUAUUCACCUCCACCCCCACCUCCAUCUCCUCCUCCACCAUCACCUCCACCACCACCCCCGCCAUCUCCACCUCCACCACCAGUUUAUUCAUCACCACCACCGCCACCAUCUCCCCCUCCACCAUCACCUCCACCUCCUCCCCCACCCGUUUAUUCGCCACCACCAUCUCCACCUCCUCCAUCACCAUUGCCUUAUUGUAUACGCUCACCUCCACCACCAAAUUCCCCACCUCCUAAUUCUCCACCUCCACCGCUUGCUCACUCGCCUCCACCCCCUUCACCUUACUAUUACAAUUCACCACCACCUCCGCCCCCAAAUUCGCCUCCUCCUCCACCAGUAUACAUAUACUCAUCACCUCCGCCACCAAAUUCACCUCCUCCUCCACCGCCAACAUACGUAUAUUCUUCACCUCCUCCACCUCCUUCCCCAUUGCCUUGUAUAGAACCCCCUCCACCACCUCCUCCUUGCAUUGAACCACCCCCACCCCCCUCCCCUUCACCAUCUCCUCCUCCACCACCGGUUUAUCAUUACAAUUCUCCGCCCCCACCAUCUCCAUCACCUCCACCACCAGUUUAUUAUCAUUACAAUUCUCCGCCCCCACCAUCUCCAUCACCUCCACCACCAGUUUAUUAUUACAAUUCUCCACCACCACCAUCACCACCGCCUACUCCAGUAUACGAAGGGCCAUUACCACCAGUAAUAGGAGUUCAAUAUGCUUCACCACCUCCACCACCCUUUUAUUAAUUCUUUCAGAAAUUUCACUAACUCUUAUCCUCAGAGCACAAAAUAGUUCCUACAAUUAUUAUUUC